AACGAACGCUGGCGGCAGGCUUAACACAUGCAAGUCGAACGCCCCGCAAGGGGAGUGGCCGACGGGUGAGUACCGCGUGGGAACAUACCCUUUCCUGCGGAAUAGCUCCGGGAAACUGGAAUUAAUACCGCAUACGCCCUACGGGGGAAAGAUUUAUCGGGGAAGGAUUGGCCCGCGUUGGAUUAGCUAGUUGGUGGGGUAAAGGCCUACCAAGGCGACGAUCCAUAGCUGGUCUGAGAGGAUGAUCAGCCACAUUGGGACUGAGACACGGCCCAAACUCCUACGGGAGGCAGCAGUGGGGAAUAUUGGACAAUGGGCGCAAGCCUGAUCCAGCCAUGCCGCGUGAGUGAUGAAGGCCUUAGGGUUGUAAAGCUCUUUCACCGAUGAAGAUAAUGACGGUAGUCGGAGAAGAAGCCCCGGCUAACUUCGUG
rnacentral:rRNA from 1 species